rnacentral:lncRNA from 1 species
CCGUGCACCUGCGCCCACACGCGCCCGUGAAACCGCGAGGGUCGGCUCUGAUACCAUUCUGUCACGCCCCAACCCUAGGAACCCCCUAGGUCGGGCCCAUGCUCUAGGACAUCAAUACUUCCCUCACACAACCAACAUAAUGCAGGCAUGGCAUAUUUCGUUGAAUCAGUCUUUUUCGCCACAUCGCGUAUAAAGGGAAUCAAACCCAACUCUUCCACUCGCCACCAAUGCGGAAGGAUGCCACCGAAAAGAAAGGAGACUGAUCUUAACGUUGGCGUCGGUUUCUCCAAGAAAAGUUUGAUUUGAUUGGUCUUUUUCAUGCGCCCCAACCCUAGGAACCCCCUAGGUCAGGCCCAUGCUCUAGGACAUCAAUGCUUCCCUCACACAACCAACACGCAUGUCUUUUCUGCGCACUUUGUCCCCACUCAUGCGCACCCGGAAAGCCACACUUUG